AUGGAUCUUAAAACCUCGAGAAAUAAGGCUUUCUUCCAUGCGGCCUCUGAGUUAUCUAAAGAACUUAUUAUGAAGCUAAAAAUCACUUCAAUAUCGAGUGUAAGUGAAGUAACGUAAUGCUGAAAAAUAAUAUUAAGAAUGCGCGAGAUACGCAGUGCAACUGGAAAAUCCGACAUAGAUGCGAGAGAGGCAGUAAUAAUAGGAAGAAGAUCUUUUCGAACAGAGUCUUGAAAUUCUGGAAUUUGAAAGAGACGAUGAUGAUUGACAAGAAUACUUUCAAGUAAUUCGAGUCCAAAAGUCGUAGAUAUGUGAUCUACAUUUAAAGAUUCGGAUUUCCCAGCGCUUAAUAACGAGCAUAACCCUUUAAAUAACGA